UACGUAGGGGGCAAGCAUUGUCCGGAUUUAUUGGGCGUAAAGAGCGUGUAGGCGGCUUGGUAGGUCCGCUGUGAAAACUCGAGGCUUAACCUUGAGAUGUCAUCGGAAACCAUUUGGCUAGAGUCCGGAAGAGGAAAGUGGAAUUCCUGGUGUAGCGGUGAAAUGCGCAGAUAUCAGGAAGAACACCAAUGGCGAAAGCAGCUUUCUGGGACGGUACUGACGCUGAGACGCGAAAGCGUGGGGAGCGAACAGG
rnacentral:rRNA from 1 species